GAUUGUUCUAUUGGUUCUACAUCAUUACCCAAUCUAGGAAAUAAAAGGUUGCUUAAUGCAUUUAAAAUAGGAUUUUUACUAUAGCAGCCACAUACAAAGCAAAACAUAGAAGCAAAAAUGGCAUCGGUGACUUAUAACAAAUUUCUUUUUGAGCAGAACUAUACUCUCUUUCAUUCUCUCUGAGCCCAAAAAUUUUUAAAAAAAUUAAAAA
rnacentral:misc_RNA from 1 species